CCGCCGACGUUACUACAAUGGCUCGGC
rnacentral:sRNA from 1 species